rnacentral:rRNA from 1 species
CGCUCUGUGCAUGCAGCAUAUCAAUAAGCGGAGGAAAAGAAACUAACAAGGAUUCCCCUAGUAACGGCGAGUGAAGCGGGAAGAGCUCAAAUUUGAAAUCUUAAAGGGUUUCCCUUUACGAAUUGUAGUUUAAAGAAGUGUUUUCUGUUGAGGUUUUGGUAAAAGUUCUUUGGAAUAGGACAUCAUAGAGGGUGAGAAUCCCGUAUUUGACCUUUACUUUCAACUUUGUGAUACACUUUCAAAGAGUCGGAUUGUUUGGGAAUGCAGUCCAAAAUGGGUGGUAAAUUUCAUCUAAAGCUAAAUAUUGGCGAGAGACCGAUAGCGAACAAGUACCGUGAGGGAAAGAUGAAAAGAACUUUGAAAAGAGAGUUAAACAGUACGUGAAAUUGUCAAAAGGGAAGCGUUUGACACCAGUGUUGUUUUUCUGAAAAUCAAUUAAAGAACUGUUUAUGCUAAGUUGUUUAGACUUUAUCAGCUAACUGUUUAGUUUUGAGCUUUUCUUUAAUGCACUUUUCAGUUAACAAGUCAACAUCAAUUUCUUUUGCUGUAAAAAAGCUUGAGGAAGGUGGCUUGAGAUUCGUCUUAAGUGUUUAUAGCCUCUUGCCUAUGCAGUCGGAGAGAUUGAGGUCUGCAGCGUAGAUCCUUCGGGCUAAAUGCAUUUGUGCCUAAGUUAUAGCAUUUUAUAGACAACUUGUUGACUAUGAUUUGUCUUGUAGCUUACUCGCUUAUGUUAUUUUACCUACGCUUAGGAUGUUGAAUCUGUGCGAGACUAC